GAUGAACGCUAGCGGGAGGCCUAACACAUGCAAGCCGAGCGGUAUAAUUCUUUCGGGAAUUAGAGAGCGGCGCACGGGCGCGGAACACGUGUGCAACCUGCCUUUAUCUGGGGGAUAGCCUUCCGAAAGGGAGAUUAAUACCCCAUAAUAUAUUGACUGGCAUCAGUUAAUAUUGAAAACUCCGGUGGAUAGAGAUGGGCACGCGCAAGAUUAGAUAGUUGGUGAGGUAACGGCUCACCAAGUCAGUGAUCUUUAGGGGGCCUGAGAGGGUGAUCCCCCACACUGGUACUGAGACACGGACCAGACUCCUACGGGAGGAAGCAGUAAGGAAUAUUGGACAAUGGGUGAGAGCCUGAUCCAGCCAUCCCGCGUGAAGGACGACGGCCCUAUGGGUUGUAAACUUCUUUUGUACAGGGAUAAACCUAGAUACGUGUAUCUAGCUGAAGGUACUGUACGGAUAAGCACCGGCUAACUCCGUGCCAGCCGCCGCCGUAAAAC
rnacentral:rRNA from 1 species